GGCUUCGUAGCUCAGCUGGCAGAGCGCCUGUUGCGUUUAGGCAUGGUGUUCCUGUCGCUGGUUUGAAUCCGGCCGAAGCCC